rnacentral:rRNA from 1 species
UCCGUAGGUGAACCUGCGGAAGGAUCAUUACCGAGUGCAGGUCUGCCCCCGGGCAGGCCUAACCUCCCACCCGUGAAUACCUGACCAACGUUGCUUCGGCGGUGCGCCCCCCCGGGGGUAGCCGCCGGAGACCACAUUGAACCUCUUGUCUUUAGUGUUGUCUGAGCUUGAUAGCAAACCUAUUAAAACUUUCAACAAUGGAUCUCUUGGUUCCGGCAUCGAUGAAGAACGCAGCGAACUGCGAUAAGUAAUGUGAAUUGCAGAAUUCAGUGAAUCAUCGAGUCUUUGAACGCACAUUGCGCCCCCUGGCAUUCCGGGGGGCAUGCCUGUCCGAGCGUCAUUGCUGCCCUUCAAGCCCGGCUUGUGUGUUGGGUCGUCGUCCCCCCUGGGGGACGGGCCCGAAAGGCAGCGGCGGCACCGCGUCCGGUCCUCGAGCGUAUGGGGCUUUGUCACCCGCUCGAUUAGGGCCGGCCGGGCGCCAGCCGGCGUCUCCAACCUUCUAUUUUACCAGGUUGACCUCGGAUCAGGUAGGGAUACCCGCUGAACUUAAGCAUAUCAAUAAGCGGAGGAA